rnacentral:rRNA from 1 species
GAUGAACGCUGGCGGCGUGCCUAAUACAUGCAAGUCGAGCGAUCGGACGAGAAGCUUGCUUCUCUGAUAUUAGCGGCGGACGGGUGAGUAAUACGUGGAUAACCUACCCAUAAGACUGGGAUAACUUCGGGAAACCGGAGCUAAUACCGGAUAAUAUUUUGAACCGCAUGGUUCAAAAGUGAAAGACGGUCUUGCUGUCACUUAUAGAUGGAUCCGCGCUGCAUUAGCUAGUUGGUAAGGUAACGGCUUACCAAGGCAACGAUGCAUAGCCGACCUGAGAGGGUGAUCGGCCACACUGGAACUGAGACACGGUCCAGACUCCUACGGGAGGCAGCAGUAGGGAAUCUUCCGCAAUGGGCGAAAGCCUGACGGAGCAACGCCGCGUGAGUGAUGAAGGUCUUCGGAUCGUAAAACUCUGUUAUUAGGGAAGAACAUAUGUGUAAGUAACUGUGCACAUCUUGACGGUACCUAAUCAGAAAGCCACGGCUAACUACGUG